rnacentral:rRNA from 2 species
CCUACGGGAGGCUGCAGUGGGGAAUAUUGGACAAUGGGCGCAAGCCUGAUCCAGCCAUGCCGCGUGAGUGAUGAAGGCCUUAGGGUUGUAAAGCUCUUUCGCCAGGGACGAUAAUGACGGUACCUGGAUAAGAAGCCCCGGCUAACUUCGUGCCAGCAGCCGCGGUAAUACGAAGGGGGCUAGCGUUGUUCGGAAUUACUGGGCGUAAAGCGUAUGCAGGCGGAUCGUUAAGUCGGGGGUGAAAUCCCGAGGCUCAACCUCGGAACUGCCUUCGAUACUGGCGAUCUUGAGUCCGGGAGAGGUGAGUGGAACUCCGAGUGUAGAGGUGAAAUUCGUAGAUAUUCGGAAGAACACCAGUGGCGAAGGCGGCUCACUGGCCCGGUACUGACGCUGAGAUACGAAAGCGUGGGGAGCAAACAGGAUUAGAUACCCCAGUAGUCCC